UAGGGAAUAUUGGACAAUGGGCGAAAGCCUGAUCCAGCAACGCCGCGUGGAUGACGAAGCAUCUUGGUGUGUAAAAUCCUGUCAGUGGGGACGAAACGUAGAGGUAGGAAAUGACCUUUACCUGACUGUACCCGCAGAGGAAGUUCCGGCCAACUCCGUGCCAGCAGCCGCGGUAAUACGGGGGGAACGAGCGUUGUUCGGAUUUACUGGGCGUAAAGGGCACGCAGGUGGGAAAAUAAGUCAGGUGUGAAACCCCAAAGCUUAACUUUGGGACUGCAUUUGAAACUGUUUUUCUUGAGUACGAGAGAGGAUGGCAGAAUUCUUGGUGUAGCGGUGAAAUGCGUAGAUAUCAAGAAGAAUACCGGUGGCGAAGGCGGCCAUCUGGCUCGAUACUGACGCUCAGGUGCGAAGGUCGGGGGAGCAAACAGG
rnacentral:rRNA from 1 species